CCAGCUGUACUCCAGCUUCACCUCCGAAGACCCCUCCUCCCUCUCCCUCUCUUCCUCGUCACCCAAGCUUCACCUCCGAAGACCCCGUCGACCUCCGCCAUUAAACCCCGUCGACCUCCGCCUUUAAGCCCAGCCGAAGUCCGCCAUUAAGCCCCGCCGAAGACCCCCUCGACCACGUCGGAUUUUCCCCAACCCAGGAUCGUCACCCCAAGCUUCACCGCCGAGGAACAUUUGUUGGUGGCGACCUCCUCCUCCGCCAUUAAGCCGCAUCGAAGAUCCCGUCAACCCCGUCGAAGGUUCCCAACCCCAAGACCGUCGAAGAUCCUCCUCCCUCUCUCUCGCCGGCGUCGAAGACACCGUCGCAGACCCCCCACCCGUCGUAGACCCCCCACCCCAGGACCGUCAGAGACUCCCUCUCUCUCGCCGACGCAGAUAAAGUUGUAUAUUUUGGUACAUGGAGUCAUCUUCAAGCACUGGUCAUAGAUUGAUGUGUCAUUGUGGAAGGAGGGCUAUACUCUCCAGAUCUGGAACAACGAUGAACUCUGGUCGAUUGUUUUUGGGAUGCGCUAAUUGGAAAGUGAAUAAUUGUGGAUUCUUCAAAUGGGUGUCUGAAGAAGAGGAGUUUGAAGGUUCAAAGGCAGGGCUUGUUCAGAGGAAGCAGUCGAGCGUGAUCCCGCAAGUUUCAAGUGUCGUGUCAAUUGGAGAAGUUCGGGAAAAGAGAAAGAUUGAAAUUGAUAUUAUGGAAUUGUUGAAGCUUUUGGUAUUUGUUCUUUUAUUCGGUAUUUUUCUUGGAUUUGUAUUUGGUAUUUUUAUUGGAUUUAUGCUAAGUAGGGUGUAAGAAUGUAUUAUUGGAUGAGUAAGAUUUGUAUUUGAUAUGAUAAAUUUGGUU